rnacentral:rRNA from 1 species
UAUCUCUGUAGAGUCUGCAUAUCAAUAAGCGGAGGAAAAGAAACUAACAAGGAUUCCCCUAGUAACGGCGAGUGAAGCGGGAAGAGCUCAAAUUUGAAAUCUUCAAGGUUUGACCUUGACGAAUUGUAGUUUAAAGAAGUGUUUUCGGUUAGAGGAGUAGUAAAAGUUCUUUGGAAUAGGACAUCAUAGAGGGUGAGAAUCCCGUAUUUGACUAUUCUUUCUAGCUUUGUGAUACACUUUCAAAGAGUCGGAUUGUUUGGGAAUGCAGUCCAAAAUGGGUGGUAAAUUUCAUCUAAAGCUAAAUAUUGGCGAGAGACCGAUAGCGAACAAGUACCGUGAGGGAAAGAUGAAAAGAACUUUGAAAAGAGAGUUAAACAGUACGUGAAAUUGUCAAAAGGGAAGCGUUUGACACCAGUGUUGUUUUUUCCGAAAAUCAAUUAAAAAUUGACUCAUGCCAGGUUGUAUUGACCUUAUCAGCUUGCAAUUUGGUUUUGGGUCUCUUUUUGAUGCACUUUUCGGUUAACAAGUCAACAUCAAUUUCUUUUGUUGUAAAAAGAGUAAUGCGGAAGGUGGCUUUCAAUUUUCGGAUGAAAGUGUUUAUAGCCCUAUACUUCUACAAUCGGAGAGAUUGAGGUCUGCAGCGUAGAUCCUUCGGGGUUAGAUACACUUGUGCUAAGUUGUAGCUUUUCAUAGACAACUUGUUGACUAUGUUUAGUCAUGCGGCUUACUCGCUUGUGCUAUUUUACCUACGCUUAGGAUGUUGACUGAUAUGUAGUCGUA